GGGACAAUGCGGCUUUAAUCCAGAAUUGCAGCCAUAGGCUCAAUUACUCUUGAUUUACAUUACACGGGGUUUUAUUCGGACUGCUUUAUAAGGCGCACUGUGCUGCCGCGCAGUUUACAUGGAUGAGAGAGUGUUGGUAUGUUAAUGCCCCUUUUGGUUAUGCGGCCAAGUACAGACACUGGAGAUGGACUCUGCCUUCUUCAGUGGUUCUUUAACGUCUCACAAUAACAGGCACCACAGGGCUCCCAAAAUUUGAAGGAAGACUUACAACAAUCCAUGGAUGUUUGAGCGCCUCAGCGGCCGUGAUACGUUUAGGAGCAUCCACUGUCAGCAUCUUGUCAAUCAAGUCUUUGGCAUCAGCUGUCACAGUGUCCCAUUCAGGUGAGGGGUACUGGGGGAACAAAAGAAUAAUCAUGUCAAGAAAGUGCUGCCGGGCUUCCUGUGGUAACACCAGAAAAUUAAAAACAAUCUGAUUUCUUUAUCACUACGUGACGACGUAAAUGCAGUAUAAAGUAUAAUUCAUUGGUGGUUUAUUGGCUCAUUAACACUCAUUUUUACUGUUAUGAUUUUUUUUAGCCUUUAGAAUUUUCGCAUUGCUAUUUUCAUGCACUUGAGAGGGUUAAUUGGCGCGUUGUCUACUCCUAAAAACAAAACUCGAUUGAAAUCAGCAAUGAGAUCUUCGCAUGUUUAGAGAGCGUGAUUCCCUCCUGCUUUAAGAAUAUUUGAUCAAGAAUGGCGAUUAUCUAAUGAUGCCAUCAAGUUUAGUGAGGCUGUGAGAUAAAUUUGUUUAGAAACAAAAGAUGGCCUUUAUCGUGUAGAAAUCCUGCAUAUUGUUCUCUAUGUUUGUCAGAGAAAGAGGGCGGAUUAAGGGCGGACCAUAAGAUAUUUUACGAGGGGGGUGGGGUUGGGGCAAAAAUCGAGCACAGCAGCUCAGGGUAAGAAAUGGUGCAUUCAAGAAAACAUCCCCACGCCCCUCCCCCGUAGUUUGUUUGUCUACCGAACUGACGGAGAUUUGUAUGGCUGCCAGAGUAAAGAGGGUAUGGGUAUAUUUAAUAAAGCACCAUACCCCCCCCCCUCAAAAAAAAAAAGCAAACAAAAAAUUAAAAUAAAAAAGAAAGCUUUUCGAAAUUGAGAACAGUCAAUCAAGCCCAUCUGUAAAAACAAGACCAAGAACAUAUUGACAAAAUACGGUGUUCUUCUCAUCGUCAGACAAAA